AGCAAAGGUCGUCAGUGACAGGGAUCAGUUGUGGGCGGCGAGUGGUCCCUCUGCACACGGUAUCUGGGCCGAGUCUGGAUUCAUUAGAGUCCCCGGCGCCCAGCACUGAGUGGCAUGCAUAAGUAUUGGUGUCACGAACAACGGUCAGCCCCCGGCUUGCCCGCAAGGAAGGGCGUCGGGCGGAGGCACCAGUUCCUCCCGGAAGCUUUUUGUCGCUAUCGCCACCAGCCCCUGGCAGUGGCAGUGGCCGUGGCCGGGCGUGAAGGCGGCCUCUCGGGCUGCAUGCCUCCUGGAGCUGGGGCCACGUCUCAGUGGUGGAACGCCUAGUCGGGGCGUGGGGCUGAGCCCUCGUGUCCUCAGGGCCCAACCAGACAUAAGGCAGCGUGGUGCGGCGGAAAGGGGUCCCAAGGAAAGUCCUCGGAUCCAACUUCGAAUUACCGGCCUCCUCGCUGAGCCUUGGGAGAAACAGCGGUGCCUCCUUCCCGCGGGUGCGGAGAGGAAGAAUGAAACGUUGCCUACUCCCUGCCUCUUAUCUUCCUCUUUAUGCCUAGCCUGGAGCUCAACUCCAGGAUUGAAGACUAUCGCUGACCGGAGUGCUUUUCACGUACUAGUUCAUGUAUUACUUUAUUUAAUCCUCAGAACAACCUCAUUAAGUAGAUAAUAUUAGUAUUCUCCGUGUUUUGUAUGAGGAAACUAAGGUGCAGUCGAGUCGCGUAAGUUCCCUAAGACCACACUAGACAGGGAUGUGAGCCCAGACAAUCUGGUUUCAGAAUCCGUAUUCUAACCGAAAGAUUACACCGUCUAAAUAAUAGGCUCCCAUCCACUCUUUUCUCCUUAUUGCUGAGAGGAAACAGUCAAUAUGAUUAUCUUUUAAGUAAUGCUACCUAUUUUUUUUUCAAAUGUGCCUAAGAUCUUACCUCCUUUCUUAUCACCUAAAACAGGUGUUAACCGUUCUUAAUAAAGGAUAUAUUAUCCAUUUUUUACACUCUUAAAAAUAGCUUAUAAAACUCUCUAAAACUUUCAAAAUCCUUCCAAAUUCAUGGUAUUUUAUUUUUAUUUUUUAUUUAUUUUUUGAGAUGGGUCUUGCUCUGUCACCCAAGCUGGAGUACAGCGGCGCGAUUUCAGCUCACUGCAACCUCCGCCUCCCAGUUUCAAGCAAUUCUUGUGCCUCAGCCUCCCAAGUGGCUGGGACUACAGGCGCCUGCCACCACGCCCGGCUAACUUUUGUAUUUUUAGUAGAGACUGGGUUUCACCAUGUUGACCAGGCUGGUCUCAAACUCCUGACCUCGAGUGAUCCGCCCACUUCGGCUUCCCAAAGUGCUGGGAUUACAGGUGUGAGCUACCAGCUACCAUGCCCAGCCUGUCAGUAUUUUUUAAAUGAGCAUCAUGCAUAAUACUGUACCAGCCUCUUGAGCUACAAAUAAAGAUUGGGACUUAAAGAGUAGUUGUUCACUUUGCAAAACAAGAUGAUUUUCUCUACAAAAGAUUUAGCUUCAUACUCUCCCUUUGGCAAGUUUUCCUUGUGAUUUAAAUUUUUUAUUUACAAAAAUUCAGUUUAGGUGUAACUUUUCAGGGGCACAUUUUAUUUAACAUGAAUUGUGAUUAUAAGUAUCAAACACAGUCUAUGCCCUUAAAGUAAGUAAGCUGAAGUUUGAAAAUAAUUCCUGUGAAAGAGAUAAACUCUUGGCAACAAAAUUCAGGUCUGUUAGGAGAUGAAAAUAAAUAUGGAGAGUGAGAUACUUUACCAUUCCAGGAGAUGAAAAUAAAUAUGGAGAGUGAGAUACUUUACCAUUCCAAAAAGUUCCAAGGCCAGAGCUUCUGGGUUAUCCAAGGUGAAAGAAGUCAUGAAAAUACAAAGAUAGAUAGAGACUAAUGUGAUAUAUUGUGCACCUGAGGCUGUUUCUUCAGCCUCAUGGUACCUUAAGGGUAACUUUUCACGCAAUUUCCUCAAUAGCAAUUCACAGCAUGUACUUUAAUUUCUCCACAGAAGCCAAGUGCAUUAUUCUCUGGUCAUACUCUAUUAACCAAGUUUUUGAUUAUUCAUGGGACUUUGGGUCCCAUUUACUUUAAAUAAUCAGCAUUUUCCUUUAUACUUACAGUUAAAAGGUUGCAUUAUACUUAAUGAUAAUCAGUUUUUAGAAGGUUAAAAUGGUAUUUGUUCUUUAAUCUCCCAGAUAAAUAUAUAAUUCCUUAGAGUCUUUAUGAUUAAAGAAAUUUCUGAAUUGCUAGUGACUUUUGGAGAAACAGGGAGGGGGAGUAUCUGUGAUUCUGCCCUUCCUCUGCCACUGAUAAUAGUUAUAUUAAAGAUGUCUGUGAAUGUGUGCAUAAAGAAAGAAUACAGCAGGAUUUCUCAGCCUUGGCAUUUUUGGCGUUUUGGACCAGAUAAUUCUUUGUUGGGGGAAGGGGGGCAGUCCUGAGUAUUGUACGGUGUUGAGUAGCAUUCCUGACCUCUACGUACUAGAUGUUAAGCAGCACCCCUUUCCAAGUUGUGACAACGAGGUAUGUCUCCAAACAUUACCAAAUGUCUGUCACCCUGGAGUGCAAAAUUGCCCACUGGGAAAUGGGAGAUGCUGAAAGAAAAAAACAGUGUCCAUCCAUGACAUUUACUCCUACAAAGCAGCAAAAAAGAAGUCCUGGGUGUGAGUAGCCCUGCAGGUUAGAGAGUGGUCACUCCACAACCUAUGGAAACUUUCAGCCACACUCAGGGACUUCCCCUUGGCAUCGGAGUUGUUUUGGAGACAGCACGCUGACAAAAAAUGAUCACAGUUCCUCCUCUACCUUUUUCAGGAUUCUGAAGCUUAUACCAGUAGAACUCACUGGGCACUCUGCAUUCUACUGACCUUAGAAAGAAGUAAGGUCAUAUUUGAUGUCCUUUUCUUUGGCUGGAAACCCGAGCCAGCCUUGGAAAAUACAAGCUCUUAACAAGGAUAGUGCUGUGGGCGCUGGCAUUUCCAUGAUUAGGUGAGUGGAAAUAGAUAGAGAUAUUGCAGCCACCCUCCUUAUGUCACCCUCAAUACAAUCACCUAUUGUUUAUCCUGAGAGAGUUCUUCCAAAGGCAGAUGAAAGCGUCGUGGUGUAUCUUGGGCAAAGAUGAUAAAAGGAGGCAAAAAUCCAAAAGUUUGACCACCUACUUGGUUAGCAGGCUAUGGAGAUGCCACAUAGUGCCAUUGAGAAUGCAAAAUGGUACAUGGCAGCUAUGGAAGGGAAUUUGAUAAUCCUCAGCAAAAUUACAUAUAUAUUGCCCUUUGCCCUAGAAACCCAAUUCUAGGAAAAUAUCCCAAAUAAUGACUUAAGCACAAGGUUAUUCAUUGCAGUAUUAUUUGUAAUAGCAAAAGAUUGGAAACAAUCCAGAUAACCCCAAAUAAGAGAUUGGUUGAACAAACUCGAGUAGAUCUACACAAUGAAACUAUGCAACUGUGAAAAAGAACGAGGGCCAUUUCUUUACACUGAGGUGAAAUGAUCUCCGAAUAUAUAUUAGUGUAAAAAAAAAAAAAAACCAAAGUGCAGAACAGUAUAUGUGCUUUUUUUUUGUAAGAUAGCUAAACUACAAAUGAGUAUUUGCAUAUAUUUGGAAUAGGAGGAAACAGGUGGAGGAGACAGGCGUGGAAGCUAGACUACUCUGAAUAAGCCUUGGCUAUAUGGUUUUGAUUUUAGAAUCAUGUAUAUGUUUUACAUUUUCAAAAUAAUUUCAAAUCCGAAAGAAAAAUGCAAUUCCUAAAAUUUGAAAACAAAUAAUCUAACUGUAUAUUAA
rnacentral:lncRNA from 1 species